UACAGAGGUCUCAAGCGUUGUUCGGAUUCAUUGGGCGUAAAGGGUGCGUAGGCGGCGCGGUAAGUCGGGUGUGAAAUCUCGGAGCUUAACUCCGAAACUGCAUUUGAUACUGCCGUGCUUGAGGACUGGAGAGGAGACUGGAAUUUACGGUGUAGCGGUGAAAUGCGUAGAUAUCGUAAGGAAGACCAGUGGCGAAAGCGGGUCUCUGGACAGUUCCUGACGCUGAGGCACGAAGGUCAGGGGAGCAAACGGG
rnacentral:rRNA from 1 species